GAGUCGUCGUUCAAUGACCGAAUGAAAAGAAAGAAUCACACGAUUCUCUCCGUCGUUCUCCUUCUCUUCGUCUCCGCGAUCGCCGUCGUGCUUCACAUCUCGUCGACAAAUGCUGGAGAUUGAUGAUUCGCUGAUCCCUACUGGCGAUGAAAUGCGACGGAGAAACGUUCGGAGUCCUAAUUUUUGAUUCUUCAAGAGGAUGAACGAUUCUCUUCGUCAAAGCUCUCAUUCUCUUCUCCGACUGAUGCCCGUCGUGCUCCGUUCCUCUUCUUUGCGUUUGCGGCCGCUGCUACAAUAGUUCGCCGCCUGCGACUCAACAUGCUGGGCUUCUCGUGCACUGAUUCGCUUGCAUAUGAUGAAAAAUGGAGUGGAGAAACAUUGAGAUCGAUCUGGCUUAUUGAUACUCAUUAGGUCAUUUGCAGUUGAGACAUUCAUAUUUUUGAGGAAACAUGUGCUCUUGCGCAGCAAUUAGAGCAGUGGUGAAAGAUCCUCUUCCUUUGAGGUUGGAGAACAAUAGUUUUGAUGUUAAGUGCUAACCAUAUCCUGGGGAGCAAGCUGCUGUUCAUGACUGUGUGGGUAGAUUUGCUUUCUCUAGGUUACUAGAAGAGGUUUUCGUUGUUUGAAAGUAUGGCCACAGCUGUGCUGCACAAUCAGAAACACCCGAGGGUUACAAAUGUUUGUCACAAUUUCUCAAUCAUAAUGGUACGCAAUUUUAUUCAGAGCCACUAUAUUUGUGGGAGAAAGGGAGAUUAUCAAACUAAUAUCUGCCAUCCUCAUGCAUCAUCAUCAUCUCAUUGAACAGUUAUAGCAUGAAUUAGGAUAUUAUUAGGACAGCGUUAAAGAUGUUAUACACAGUAGGUGAUAUAUGGGAUAAACUAUUGUUUCUUGAUAUGUUUUAGGAUAUAUCAAUUUAAUAUCAAAACUAUGCUUUUCAUGUGAUGUUUAUUAUCUCUAGUUCUUUGUCAGCAUGCGUUAUAAUUCGUGCUCCCAAAGUUUCGUACAUGUAUGAAAGAAUCUAAUACCAUUGAUCUCAAUUUUCCAACCAUACAUUUAGCAUGUGUAGAAUUCUGAGAAGAGUCUGAUCUUGUUUUUGUUAUUUCAUAGAAAUGGGCUACGUCAAUCAUGCUGUUAUUUCAAUACCUAAUCAAGCACACUGAAACUCAGUACAUCAUGAAGCCAGUGGAAAUAUGGAAGAAUAAAAAACUAACAAAAAUUAGUUGACGAACACGAGGAAGGAAAGAAAAUAAAAAAAAAAAGGCAUGGGUUUAGGAUAUGCACAGCGUGAAACGUUCAACACUAGGUCAGCCACUUGAAACUGAGGGGAGUAGAUUUGAGGUGGUACACUCUAGAACGAAGCUUCUCCUCUCAAUAUGCACCUUGGUGGAUUUGUUCACCUUGGUUGGAAAGAUGAAGGAGUUUCUCAAGUAGCCUUUAAUAUUUCGCAAUAUCUGCAGGAGGACUUUCUUCCUUUAACCCCAAGCAUUUAUGUUUCCUCCCAACUAUCACAUGUUUAUUUCCUUUGCCAAACAAUACUUUUGUUUUAGUCGCUCCUAUUCUUAAGAUUUAUCUUAGGUCAUCAAGUAUAUCUCUUUAAUCUUUAGUUAGAAGUUUUUUUGACCUCCUAAUUUCUUCUUUAAAAUAACCUAUAACUAUAAGUUAGUAAAUGUUUAAACCACUUGGCUCUAGUAACAUUUUUAAAUUUUGAAGAAUCCCAACACAUUACUAUGGACGAGAGAGAAAGCUUAGGAAGAAGAGUUAUUGCGAGCAAGGUAAGAAGGUUUAGCUUGAUUAAAAGAAUGGCACGUUUCACAAUAAAGAGGAGAAAUUUUAUUGAAUAAAGUUGGGCGCGUCUUUCUUAUAUAUUCUAAGUUGGUUGAUCUUCCCUAUAAUUUAUGACAGAAUCACUGAGAUGAUCCUAAUAAAUAAACUUGUUUUUCUAAACUUGUCAUCUAAUUGAAUGAGAUACAAGCCCUUAGAAUUUAUGGCAUUACCAAUAGCCUUCCUUGACCUCUAGUCUUGAAAUUUAAGGCGAUAAAAAAGAAGUGAAAUCAAUGGUUUCUUUGGAUUAACAGAGGGGAGGGGAGGGAUUUUAAUGAUCCCUUCUUUGUUUUAACUAGAGGAGAUGGGGGAAUUUUAAUGAUUUUUUUGUUGUUGGGGAGGGGAGGCAAGAAUAAUUUAACUAUAAUACCUUUGUGAUAGUUUAUUUACUUUUUUAGGAAAGAAGUUAUAGUUCAUCAUUUCUUGUAAUUAUGCUUUUUGGCAGAUGAAAAAAAAAUGAAUCUUAGUUUUCUUUCUUGUACCAUGCGUGCUAUCUUUUUUUUCCGUUUUUUUAAAUGUGGACUUUUUAAAAGCAUUUAUAUUACAACUUAUCAUUGUUUUUUGUUUUGCUUAUUCAUAAAAAAUAAUCAUUCAUCAGUACUAAUUACAAAUGAAUGAGGUGUAAGUAUUCUUUCUUGCCUCCUAAAUGUCUUUGGCCGUGGGUCUAACCCAAAAAAAAAAAACAAAAAAAAAGGAAAAAAAAAGAAAAAAGAAAAGAAAAGACACCUUUCCAGUGCUCCAUCAUAAUGAAGUUGAGCAACCAUGACGUUAGCAUAUAUAUGACCACCCAAAGCUUAUACUAUGGGUCUGCAAUGCUGGUGAAGGUAGUUUUUUAAAACUCAGAUAAUCAUCUUGGUCUCAUUCUUGUGUGAAGUUGUGAGCAUCAUGGCACUUGAGGUCCAUAAGAGAUUAUUAUUAUCAUACAAGUGAUGAAUAAUGACAAACUCCAAGAAAAAUAAAAAUAGGCCAUGAUAAUCAGCUUGUAAUCCUAAGAUUAUGGGCAAUAAAAUUAAUAAAUUUCAAAAGACGUGAUAAAAGCUGUGGAUAUCAAUGAGAAUAGAAAACCAAACAAGAUAUUCGACUGAGAAGCACAAAUGAGGAAGGAAAAUAAUGGAGACAAAUGUAGUGUUAGAUGCCUAAACUCCACAUGGAGCAGUGUGAGAUGCUCUAUGAGGUAUUUAAGCUGCUCGUUUUUUUCUAUUCCCCAUCUCGCUUGAGUACUCAUCAAUUAGCAUUAGAGCUUGUUUGUUGAAGGUUCCAAAAAGGGCUGCCUAUGGAGGGUUUUGACCAGCAAGUAAGUUGAACUGGAAGUGCUGUAGGAUGUAUUUGUUGGGACGACAACACUCUAAGGGGGCCAAUUGAUUGAAACUAAGGUAGUAUGUGAUGCCUAUGCUUCACAAGGGGCAGCAUGAGAUGUUCUAUGGAGCAAUAUGAGAUUCCCCGUCCCACUUGAGUGCCUGGUAGAAAAUGAUUAGAAAAUCACAGGUUCUUGAUGAAUAGCAUAUCAUAUGAUCUCCAAUUGGGUGUAAUAGGUUGGUCACUCUUGAGUGCAAAGUGUUCGUUUGUUAUGCAAAAUAUAUGGCAUAAAUUUAUAAGUCCUUGAGAGCUAGUUUGGUGAUAUAAUCAUUUGCUCACUUGUCAAGAAUGGAAGAGAUAUAGCUAUGCACCCUUCCAAAAGUGCAAAGGCCUAACCCUAUUCAGCACGUAAAUUAGCAUUGUUUUUUAAAAGUUGGACCUACAGAGCUUUUGAAGCCUAGUCUAGAAUCUACACUGCCAGUCCAAUUUCACAGGAAUUUGACGUUGUAGUGAGCUGAGAAAUAAUCAAUAUAGAAAAGGGGCAAUCAUCUGGAAAGAAGAUGAUGUUGUUCUUUGUGUUCUGACCAAAUAGAAGCUAUGAUGGAAAAAAAAACGUAUUGGGGACUUUAUUUGACUUAAAUAACUGCGAAAUUGUCAGGAUUCUUAAGUAGCGUGUUAAGGAAUUAGGGGUUUAUAAUUGGAGCACAAGGCAAGGAUUUUUAACGGUUCUUUCAGCUAUUUGGUUUUCUCUGGGACAGUGUUUUGUACGGCAUUGUGUUCCAGACUCAUGGCUCUUUUGGAGAGCUUCCAACCAUUCUGUUUCAAGUGUAUGAGUUUCUUUCUUGCAUGGAUGUAUUAUUUCCUUUCUUUCUGGUUCAUUUUGCUUCCUUUCGCAGCUCUAGAAUAAUUUAUUUUCUAGCACUGCGUUGUUUACUUUCUAAUAUUUUAUCCAAAAAGAAUUUUUUUAAAUAACUUCUAUGCAUAUUUGACAUCCAACCAAAGAAACCAUUCUAACCUAAGAUUCACCAUAGUUUUGCGAUGUGGUCUGAACUAAAGGUGGUUGGCUGGUGGGGGGAUGGGGCAGUUUCUUAAUGGGACUUUGAAACAUCAACGUUUUCAGCGGUGAACAAUUCAGCUGAGCAAUUGAUUUCUCAGCUUCAAGUUUCAUUCGUACCCAUGUAGCCUAUUUACUGAGAUCUAGGGUUUUGUUACAAUAAAAAAAAAUCUGGAAUUUAAAUUGUAAUUAUCAGAUCUCAUCAAAUCUGAUUCUAAUCUCCUAAAUUAAAUAAAAGAUAAUGAGAAAAUAUAUGAAAUAUCAACUAAUAAACCAGACUAAUUGAAACCCAUCUUAAAUGGGGCUUGGGCAAUGGGCGCCUUGAGGCAAGUGGAGAGAAAAAGCCUACAUAGGACUAUUAUUGAAAUCAGUGCCUUAUCUUAGCUCAUGAGCGUAAAAUUAAUAUAAGUCCGGGCCCAAUCAAAAGAAGUCCAGAUUUGUUGGGUCCAGUUCUGUGUAUCUAUGUCAUGCCUCCAUUGCUUUACAAAAGGAGCAUUAUGGUGCUGAAUUAUACUUAACAGCAUCCAACUAGGCUAAUGUUGCUAAUAAAUUAAGUAUUUAGAAAUCAGUGCACGGGUUUACUUGUUGCUACCAAUAAUUAGGGGGUUUUCCUUGUCAACUAACCGGCGCUGAGAAACAAAUCAAAUUUCUUCUGCAAUUAAAUGUCAGAACGGAAUAUUUAGCAUGUUGUGUUUAUAUUUGGUAUCAUGUGAUCCAUGUCGUCAGCCUUAUUUAGUCAGAUAAGGUUUUUUGUUGUUGUUUGCUCCUUCCCUCCCCAUAUGAGCUUACUAUUUUUUUCCUUACUCUCUUUUAAAAAUCAUGGUGAUAAAUUAUAGAGCAGCACAAAAUGUUAGAGGCUUGAAACUUACAGUUUUGUAGCGCAUCUAAGUGCAUUUUUUAAUAUUCCACAUCCUUUUUUUUUUUUGCCAACGUAAUAUUUCACAUUAUAAAUAUGAUAGAGAAUGAAAUAUUACCAAAUAAUAAUAUUUCACAUUCUAAAGUGCAUUUUGCAAUGACAACGAGAUUGCUGCAGAUAUAAAUGUUUAUAAAAAUUAUCUUGACAACGUUUGAGUUACUUAUAUACUGAGUUUCCUUUGAUAAAAUCAUCUUACACGGUUGAGUUUCCGAGUUGCUGCCAGAAAUUGGCUUUUAACAAUCAGGUAACUCAUAUCUUGAGUUUCCUUUGAUAAAAUCAUCUUUCACAGUUGAUUUUCCGAGUGGCUGCCAGAAAUUGGCUUUUAACAACAAUUGAGUAACUCAUAUCCUGAGUUUCCUUUGAUAAAAUCAUCUUACACAGUCUGCAUGUGACUACACUGACAUGGUUGCUGCUUUAUAGCCAUCUGGCCUUGAUGGAUCAUACGAUUAGAUUCUGACAGCCCUCUAGAUGUCUGCUUUGCCUGUCUGACUUGUAUAGAUAUGUGAUUUCUGAUUUCUCAUGGAAACCUCAUUAUUUUGAUGUCCAAAUAUUUAUCAAACUAUGAGUGCUGAGUAUUUCUUGCCAUAGCUUUUUAUAUUUUUUUUCUCAUUAUAAAUGAAUACAUCAUUUUAUGAAGUUCAGAAAAGUCUUUGGAAUGUCGUGUCCUCUUUGUCUAGCCCAAUUCACUGCCUCUUUGGCACGAUACAAGGAUAACCACUAUAAGGAGGGGCGCAAGCCCAUUGGAUGCUUGACUUUUUGAUCAACACUUGAUAUUUGGAUCUAGUUAAUUGGCAUAUCUUAAUAUCUUAAAUGUAUAGAAAUCUUUGGGACAUUACACCUUUGUGGAACUAAACUUGCAUGCUUGUAGAAUGCCAAAAUUUUUACUUGGCAGAGUUGAAUCAGUUGCUAGCUGUCGUGGCUGAAAGCAGUCUUUGAAGACUGUGGUGGUAUAGCAUCUCAUUCAUCUGAAUAUAGAUGAGAGAAGAAAAAAUAUCUCUUCAUUUAACAAAAACACGUGGCUUACGGACUGUCAUCCACCCCCAAAGCUCAUCUUCUUAGAAGAUGUGAUUUGUUUUAUUGUCACUUGUGGUGCUUAAACAUCGGUAUAUACGAUGCGUACAUAUUGCAGUUUCUUUUGUGAUUGGUGAGCAUUUUCAUAUUAUGUUAUGGUUGACAGACAACUUGGUAAUCCUACAUGCUGUAGUUAGGUAAAUAUAUUUGGAGUUGUUUGCUCACAAGACAAAGUUUCUCCUAUGACAUGGUAGAUGCCUUCUGUUUUUGCGUCAGGUCUUGUGUUUUUAUGUGCUAAGCUUGCUUGAGUUUCUAUGUGGCUGAAAUUUACUUUAUGCUCAAAUUUAGGCUCAAUAAUUUCAGCAUUGUGGCACUAGAUUUUUAUUUUCAGAUACCUUACCAGCAGCUGCUUGAAUAGUUACGUGAAGAAUUCUGAACUCAAAUGAACUAAUAUUUUCUUAAGAGCAUUUUCUGGAAUUGAAAUUAAUAUAUAUAUUUUAUUACAUUUUUUUCUUAGUUCAUUUUGACUGCACAUGUGAUAAGAAAGGAUUUAAAUAAUAAAUAAAAUGUGUUGAAAAUAGUGAAUAAUUUAGUCAUUAUUUAUUUUUUUCGCAAUUUAUAUUAUGUCAUUAUUCUGUAGUUGUCAUCUUCCUUUCUUUAAGGAAUAUCUAUUAAUAAAAAAGGUAGUUUGGAUUUACCUAGAUUUUAUUUUUGUAUAGAGGGAUUUGAUCAAUCUGCUAUGAUAUACUGUUCUAGUAAAAGGUACUAAGCAUUUUCUAUCAAUAGUAGAUGUUGAAAUAAAAUGUGAAUCUCCUAUCAUUGCACAAGUUAUUUAAGCCAUGUUAACUAUACGUUGGCUAUGAUUGAGUUCGGAAUCUACAACAAUGAACAAGGAAUAAUCAAACCAAACAUUUGUCUCUUCCCAUGAUGGCAUGAUACUGAAUGUAGCCCCAUUAUCCGUCACAAGUCUGAGGAUUAUCAACUAUGACAAGGAGUGGUACCUAUAGGGGAGGCUACUAAACCUGUUGUAAUGGUACACUUGAUGUGAAAAGACAUCAAAUUCUGGAAUUAUCAAUUUUGUGGGAGUGGCUGCUGUGUGGCUGUGCAUCCACCCUCAGUGAGGGUGGGUUUUUGUCCGCACUUAAGUGAGAAUUGUGCACGCGUGAGUGCCGAUAAAUGGGAUAUUCAAUCACUUGGGUACCACCUGCGUUGUUUUUCCAUUUGAUGUUGAGCCCAAAAAAAUAAUUUGAAUGGACCUGAUCAUAUGGCUGGUGAUGUUUCUAUACUUAGAAAGUUUGUUCCUAAUUUUUAAAAGUUGCGUGUCCCUGUUGCUGAUGGCUCUAAUGCUUGAACGUGUGCCCUUUUACAGCAAGACACCAAUUGAGAGGGAGACAUCUAAUACCAGAAAUCCUAACGAAUGGCUGUCUUGGAACCUUAACCCUCUGCAACCCUUACCUUUGCUACCUACACCUAAUAUGCAGAAACACAUGACAACACCCAAUCAAUAAAUCUGUUGCUUGUGGCAGGCUUUCUCCUAAGUUGUUGGCGUUUGUGCACAAUGUAGAGGAGGAACUUCAAACAAAUGUUUAGAAAGCUGCAAAGAAGCAGGAAUGGAGCGAGGCAAUUCAAGAAAAGUUAAGGGUCGUUCGGAAGAAUCAAAUAUGGGAGUUGUUGAUCUUCCAUCUGGAAAGACUACAAAAGGGCUUGAAUCGGUAUUCAUGGGAAAAAAAAAAAAAAAAUUCUUGGUGGAAGUAUCAAUUGUCAUAAACCAAGGUUGGUGGCUAAGGGUUUCAGACAAACCCAUAGCAUCAUAGACUGUGAGCUUCUGUGGUGAGGUUUAACACCAUCAAACUUCUACUCUCUAUGUUAUCUGGCUUCGAGUAGCUAUUACAACAACUAGUUGUUAAUAACACUUAAUGGCAAUCUCAAGGAAGAUUUUUACAUGAAAAUCCCACUGGGCUUGGAGGUUGAAGUAUAUGGCAAUAAGUUAUGCAAACUUAAGAAGUGUAUAUAUGUACUCAAACACUCCUAGGAUGUGUUUUUUUAUAAAUGUUGUCAAGAUGAUCAUACUCUAUUUGUCAUAUGUGGUUCAAAUGAAAAACUAGCCAUUCUAGUUGUAUUUGUAGAUGACACAUGAGACAAGUAAUGAGAUUGGCAAACUGAUACGAAAUCUUGGAGCAGAGUUACACAUUAAAAGCCUUGGCCAAAUGAGGUAUUUUCUGGGGAUGGGGCAUCGUACAAAAUAAAGAUGACGCAUCUUGGAGAAAGCACAUCAUACAUCUCCUUAAAGAGAUUGAGGUCGUGUAAACUAGUUGACACAUUAGAAUAGGUCAGACUCCAGAAGGAAAGCCGAUUGGUAUGCAUCAAGGGCUUGCAGGACGUCUAAUUCAUGACUAAUAGAAGAUCCAGUACUUGGUACUUGACAGUUGGGGGAGAAAUUUAGUGCCAUGGAGAAGCC